rnacentral:rRNA from 1 species
GAUGAACGCUGGCGGCGUGCUUAACACAUGCAAGUCGAACGGUGAAGGCGGAGCUUGCUCUGCUGGAUCAGUGGCGAACGGGUGAGUAACACGUGAGCAAUCUGCCCCUGACUCUGGGAUAAGCGCUGGAAACGGCGUCUAAUACUGGAUACGAGCUGCGAAGGCAUCUUCAGCAGCUGGAAAGAAUUUCGGUCAGGGAUGAGCUCGCGGCCUAUCAGCUUGUUGGUGAGGUAAUGGCUCACCAAGGCGUCGACGGGUAGCCGGCCUGAGAGGGUGACCGGCCACACUGGGACUGAGACACGGCCCAGACUCCUACGGGAGGCAGCAGUGGGGAAUAUUGCACAAUGGGCGAAAGCCUAAUGCAGCAACGCCGCGUGAGGGACGACGGCCUUCGGGUUGUAAACCUCUUUUAGCAGGGAAGAAGCGAAAGUGACGGUACCUGCAGAAAAAGCGCCGGCUAACUACGUG